rnacentral:rRNA from 1 species
CACUAUCGUUAACUGAAUACAUAGGUUAACGAGGCGAACCGGGGGAACUGAAACAUCUAAGUACCCCGAGGAAAAGAAAUCAACCGAGAUUCCCCCAGUAGCGGCGAGCGAACGGGGAGCAGCCCAGAGUCUGAAUCAGCUUGUGUGUUAGUGGAACGGUCUGGAAAGUCCGACGGUACAGGGUGAUAGUCCCGUACACCAAAAUGCACAGGCUGUGAACUCGAAGAGUAGGGCGGGACACGUGGUAUCCUGUCUGAAUAUGGGGGGACCAUCCUCCAAGGCUAAAUACUCCUGACUGACCGAUAGUGAACCAGUACCGUGAGGGAAAGGCGAAAAGAACCCCGGCGAGGGGAGUGAAAAAGAACCUGAAACCGUGUACGUACAAGCAGUGGGAGCACCUUCGGGUGUGACUGCGUACCUUUUGUAUAAUGGGUCAGCGACUUAUAUUCUGUAGCAAGGUUAACCGUAUAGGGGAGCCGCAGGGAAACCGAGUCUUAACUGGGCGUUAAGUUGCAGGGUAUAGACCCGAAACCCGGUGAUCUAGCCAUGGGCAGGUUGAAGGUUGGGUAACACUAACUGGAGGACCGAACCGACUAAUGUUGAAAAAUUAGCGGAUGACUUGUGGCUGGGGGUGAAAGGCCAAUCAAACCGGGAGAUAGCUGGUUCUCCCCGAAAGCUAUUUAGGUAGCGCCUCGUGAACUCAUCUUCGGGGGUAGAGCACUGUUUCGGCUAGGGGGUCAUCCCGACUUACCAACCCGAUGCAAACUACGAAUACCGAAGAAUGUUAUCACGGGAGACACACGGCGGGUGCUAACGUCCGUCGUGAAGAGGGAAACAACCCAGACCGCCAGCUAAGGUCCCAAAGUCAUGGUUAAGUGGGAAACGAUGUGGGAAGGCACAGACAGCCAGGAUGUUGGCUUAGAAGCAGCCAUCAUUUAAAGAAAGCGUAAUAGCUCACUGGUCGAGUCGGCCUGCGCGGAAGAUGUAACGGGGCUAAACCAUGCACCGAAGCUGCGGCAGCGACACUAUGUGUUGUUGGGUAGGGGAGCGUUCUGUAAGCCUGCGAAGGUGUGCUGUGAGGCAUGCUGGAGGUAUCAGAAGUGCGAAUGCUGACAUAAGUAACGAUAAAGCGGGUGAAAAGCCCGCUCGCCGGAAGACCAAGGGUUCCUGUCCAACGUUAAUCGGGGCAGGGUGAGUCGACCCCUAAGGCGAGGCCGAAAGGCGUAGUCGAUGGGAAACAGGUUAAUAUUCCUGUACUUGGUGUUACUGCGAAGGGGGGACGGAGAAGGCUAUGUUAGCCGGGCGACGGUUGUCCCGGUUUAAGCAUGUAGGCUGGUUGUCCAGGCAAAUCCGGAUAAUCAAGGCUGAGGUGUGAUGACGAGGCACUACGGUGCUGAAGUAACAAAUGCCCUGCUUCCAGGAAAAGCCUCUAAGCAUCAGGUAACAUCAAAUCGUACCCCAAACCGACACAGGUGGUCAGGUAGAGAAUACCAAGGCGCUUGAGAGAACUCGGGUGAAGGAACUAGGCAAAAUGGUGCCGUAACUUCGGGAGAAGGCACGCUGGUGUGUAGGUGAAGUCCCUGCGG